CAUCUCUGGUCACAAAGUUAUAAUUUAGGCCAAAAGCAUAGCCCGAACUUUCCUUUUUAUUUAUUUAACCUCUUUUAGCAGAAAGAAUUGAGAACUCUAUUUACCUAGAAAUGACAGGUAUUCGGGAGAAAUGAGUGAAGCCUGAAGGGUCAUCGAGUCUUGGAGUGAGAAGCAACCCAAGACAAUCUUUCUGGCCUGCUCAUUUGUGAAGGAGAAUACUGAGAACUAGGGAGAGACCCUCCCAGUGUGGCUGCCCAGCACGGGAGCUGGUACUGAGCUGGAUGUCGCAAAUCUGGAGUGGGGUGAUGGGAGAAGAACAGAAAGUUAAGCACAACCCAGAGAGCCAAUGAUAAAUAAUUCGGUAUGUGAAUUAUCUGCAGUGAAGACUCUCCUAAGCCAGGCCAAAUCAACUCCCCUACAGGUAGGAGAGUCUGAGUGCUUCCAAGGGUAGCCAAGCCCCUCACCGCAAUUCCCAGCUGUCCUGGCC